rnacentral:rRNA from 1 species
GGAGGAAAAGAAACCAACUGGGAUUACCUUAGUAACGGCGAGUGAAGCGGUAAAAGCUCAAAUUUGAAAUCUGGUACUUUCAGUGCCCGAGUUGUAAUUUGUAGAAUUUGUCUUUGAUUAGGUCCUUGUCUAUGUUCCUUGGAACAGGACGUCAUAGAGGGUGAGAAUCCCGUUUGGCGAGGAUACCUUUUCUCUGUAAGACUUUUUCGAAGAGUCGAGUUGUUUGGGAAUGCAGCUCAAAGUGGGUGGUAAAUUCCAUCUAAAGCUAAAUAUUGGCGAGAGACCGAUAGCGAACAAGUACAGUGAUGGAAAGAUGAAAAGAACUUUGAAAAGAGAGUGAAAAAGUACGUGAAAUUGUUGAAAGGGAAGGGCAUUUGAUCAGACAUGGUGUUUUUUGCAUGCACUCGCCUCUCGUGGGCUUGGGCCUCUCAAAAAUUUCACUGGGCCAACAUCAAUUCUGGCAGCAGGAUAAAUCAUUAAGAAUGUAGCUACUUCGGUAGUGUUAUAGCUUUUUGGAAUACUGUUAGCCGGGAUUGAGGACUGCGCUUCGGCAAGGAUGUUGGCAUAAUGGU